rnacentral:tRNA from 1 species
GCCCAUAUAGCUCAUUGUCAGUGGCAGAGUGUUGGUCUUGUAAACCAAAGGUCCGUAGUUCAAUCCUGCGUGAGGGCA